AUUGAACGCUGGCGGCAGGCUUAACACAUGCAAGUCGAACGAGUGGCGGACGGGUGAGUAAUGCUUGGGAAUCUAGCUUAUGGAGGGGGAUAACUACGGGAAACUGUAGCUAAUACCGCGUACCAUAGGAUGAGCCCCCGUGGGAGUAGGUAGUUUGUGAGGUAAAGGCUCACCAAGCCGACGAUCUCUAGCUGGUCUGAGAGGAUGACCAGCCACACUGGGACUGCGACACGGCCGAUACUCGUACGGGAGGCAGCAGUGGGGAAUAUUGCGCAAUGGGGGCAACCUGACGCAGCAAUGCCGCGUGAAUGAAGAAGGCCUUCGGGUUGUAAAGUUCUUUCGGUAGCGAGGCGUUAACUAGAGAAGAAGCACCGGCUAACUCCGUGCCAGCCGGCGCGGUAAGAG
rnacentral:rRNA from 1 species